rnacentral:lncRNA from 1 species
CCAAAGGCACGAUUAAACAAUAAAACCAACAACAGAAUCGAAGAAGAAGAACGAAUUAACUAUUUUACCGAAAAAUGGAAAAAAAAGCUAGAAACCACAAAAAAAUUGAAGAAAACGUCAGAGGGAAAAUUUAGGGAGAAGAGAGAAAAAUUUGAAAAAUAAAAUAAAAUCACAACCUCUCACUAACAACUCAACCUCAACUAACUCAAACUUUCAAGAUCACUCAAACUCUCUUAGCCAACCGAAAUAAAAAUUAAC